AGGAGGAACAACCCCAGUGGCUAUUGCAGCUCUGGAAACCUGGAUUCAGCUCCCGCAUGAACUCCAGAGCUCUCGGCGUGCAGGGCCUGGAGGCUCCGGGGCGGG
rnacentral:pre_miRNA from 1 species